GAUGAACGCUGGCGGCGUGCCUAAUACAUGCAAGUCGAGCGAACGGACGAGAAGCUUGCUUCUCUGAUGUUAGCGGCGGACGGGUGAUUAACACGUGGAUAACCUACCUAUAAGACUGGGAUAACUUCGGGAAACCGUAUCUAAUACCGGAUAAUAUUUUGAACCGCAUGGUUCAAAAGUUAAAGACGGUCUUGCUGUCACUUAUAGAUGGAUCCGCGCUGCAUUAGCUAGUUGGUAAGGCAACGGCUUACCAAGGCAACGAUGCAUAGCCGACCUGAGAGGGUGAUCGGCCACACUGGAACUGAGACACGGUACAGACUCAUACGGGAGGAAGCAGUAGGGAAUCUUACGCAAUGGGCGAAAGCCUGACGGAGCAACGCCGCGUGAGUGAUGAAGGUCUUCGGAUCGUAAAACUCUGUUAUUAGGGAAGAACAUAUGUGUAAGUAACUGUGCACAUCUUGACGGUACCUAAUCAGAAAGCCACGGCUAACUCCGUG
rnacentral:rRNA from 1 species